rnacentral:rRNA from 1 species
AUCGAACGCUGGCGGCAUGCCUAACACAUGCAAGUCGAACGAGUGGCGGACGGGUGAGUAAUGUCUGGGAAACUGGCUGAUGGAGGGGGAUAACUACGGGAAACGGUAGCUAAUACCGCAUACCAUCGGAUGAGCCCAGAUGGGAUUAGGUAGUAGGUGGGGUAACGGCUCACCAAGGCGACGAUCUCUAGCUGGUCUGAGAGGAUGACCAGCCACACUGGGACUGAGACACGGCCCAGACUCCUACGGGAGGCAGCAGUGGGGAAUAUUGCGCAAUGGGGGCAAGCCUGAUGCAGCCAUGCCGCGUGUAUGAAGAAGGCCUUCGGGUUGUAAAGUACUUUCGGCAGGGAGGCGUUACCCGCAGAAGAAGCACCGGCUAACUCCGUGCCAGCAGCCGCGGUAAUAC